CAUGAAACACACCACAGAUGAUUGUUCUUAAAGUCAGCCAUGAAAGACAACAAGAUGAUCACACUCUUCUACAUAACCUUUAAUAUCGUACUGGUCUCAGGUUCCUCUCUCAGUCACAAAGUCCAGCAGAGUCCAGCUAACAUUUACAAGCAACAAGAAGAAACAGCCAAAAUCAGCUGUUCACACAGUAUUGACAGCUACGAUCGAAUCCUCUGGUACAAGCAGAUAAAUAACACACAGCUUCAGCUCCUGGGAUACAUGUUUGGAAACAAGGAAUACCCAGAGCCUGGAUCUGGUGUGAAAAUGGACGGGGGCGCGAAUAAAGAUAAGACGUGCACAUUAAAAAUCGAAGGACUGAACCUGAGCAGCAGUGCAGUGUAUUUCUGUGCUGCUAGUUUACACAGUGAAACACAUCAUCUGCUCCUCAGUACAAAAACCUGCAUAUGAGGUUCUUUCAUCAGCUGCCAGCCCCUUACACACGCACCCUCCUCUCAUUAGGGGGCAGUAUUUGUACUUUCUGUUACUCUGAACUGUAGCGAGAGUUGAUAUGACAGUUAUAAAGUUGGGAGAAGAGGGAGUUGACUGAUACAGGAGGUGUAACUGCCGAUGGACUGAAGAAAACACAAUGAUCCACUGCAACAAGGUUUAACCAAACAGCCGGAGAACACAAAAUGAUUGUCCUAUUUUAUUUUAUCUUCAGCGUGACUUUAAACAAUAUUUUGGUUUCAGGUUCCUCUCUCAGUCACAAAGUCCAGCAGAGUCCAGCUAACAUUUACAAGAAACCAGCAGAAACAGCCAAAAUCACCAAUUAACAAGUCGCAACCUCCCAUGAUGUCAACCAUUGGUUUGUGAACUACCUUCUUGAAACCACCAUCUUAUUUUUCCCUUUUGAAACCAGAAGCAGCCACACAGGAGCAAGACUUAGAGCCUAUACCUGCCAUUGAAUGAGAGUUGGUGUUAAUCACAUGGUUUCCAGGCCC